rnacentral:rRNA from 1 species
AACGAACGCUGGCGGCGUGGAUUAGGCAUGCAAGUCGAACGGGCGCUUAGCUUUUUCGAGCGCUAGUGGCGAAAGGGUGAGUAACACGUGGGUUACCUGCCCUAGGGAUCGGGAUAACUCGUCGAAAGACGGGCUAAUACCGGAUACGUUCCCAUAUCUUGACUGAUGUGGGAGGAAAGAUGGGGAUCCGCAAGGACCUAUCACCCUUGGAUGGGCCCGCGGCCUAUCAGCUAGUUGGUGAGGUAAUGGCUCACCAAGGCUAAGACGGGUAGCUGGUCUGAGAGGAUGGUCAGCCACACUGGGACUGAGACACGGCCCAGACUCCUACGGGAGGCAGCAGUGGGGAAUCUUGCGCAAUGCGCGAAAGCGUGACGCAGCAACGCCGCGUGGGGGAAGAAGGCCUUCGGGUUGUAAACCCCUUUCAGGAGGGACGAAGGUUCGGCGGUGAAUAGCCGCCCGGACUGACGGUACCUCCACAAGAAGCCCCGGCUAACUACGUGCCAGCAGCCGCAGUAACAC